UCCCUAUUCCUCCCGUCAGAUCCCAAGCAAUGGUGGAGCGCUGCAGCGAGUUCGCACGGCUCCGGCGUCCCGGUAGCGGCGGCUCUGGUGCGUGAGCGCUUGGCGGCGUGGAUCCCAGCUGCAGCGAGAGCUCGCGCGGCUCCGGCAUCCCGGCAGCGGCGGCUUCGACGCGGAUCCCGGCGGCGGGGCGACGGAGCGAGCAGCGCUGCGUGCGGGGGCGGCGGAUCCAGGCUCCUCCCGAGCUUGGACGACUCUUCUGCAGUUGGCUUCCUUCUCCUUCCUGCGAAGACCCGCUUUCUCAGAUGGCUGCCACUCCCGGCGAGGACCGGCGCCGCCGGACGCUUGCUCCAUCUCCAACCGGCGCCACGCACUUCCCACGCUAACGAAGUGCAUCAACUUGCUAGCGUCGGCGCCGCCCCUCCCACGGUUGAAUGGAUAUCUUCGAUCUGAUUUUUCUCUGGUCUGAAUGACAGGCAUUGCAGGCUAAAGGUCAAACAGAAUAUGUGCAACCCAACUUUGCUAAUUACUGGGUAGUGUAGCUCUUUUGUACUAUGUAAUAGCAAAGAGUUAGCUAUGUAUUCCUAUUUGUUCUUGAGCUAUUGUUGAGACAUGAAAAAUAUAUGCGAUGAGAUAUCUUAAUCAAAGGAAAUUUUCUUUUGAUAAUA